GGGUCAGUAGGUUGGUCGUGCCACCGGUACGUACUGGUCUCACUGAUUCCUCCUUCCUGAAGAACCGUAAUGCCAUUAAUUUGGUGUUGCGGGGAAACAGGACUGUUACUUUGAAAAAAUUAGAGUGUUUAAAGCAAGCUAACGCUUGAAUACAUUAGUAUGGAGUAAUGAAAUAGGACGAUCGAUCCUAUUUUGUUGGUUUCUAGGAUUGACGUA
rnacentral:rRNA from 1 species